GGGAUAUGAUGUGGAUUGAUAUGUUCUUUAUGCUGUCUGCCUUUCGUGAUAUUUUAUUUUUUGAUCUUUUGAGAUCCGUUCAUAACAGGAUUGUAUGAAUAUACCACCUUAAAAAAAUAAUAAUAAAACAGAAAAAACACUGAGCAAUGAUCAACGGUGGGCUAGUAGCAGUGCUUUUUGGAAAUUUUAGACAAGAGGUCGCCAUUGUAUAGAGGACUCGCCCGGAC
rnacentral:lncRNA from 1 species